rnacentral:pre_miRNA from 1 species
AACAUACUCCCUCCGUCCCAAAAUUCUUGUCUUUAAGUUUGUCUAGAAAUGGAUGUAUCUAAAUACUAAAACGUGACUAGAUACAUUCAUAUUUAGACAAAUCUAAGACAAGAAUUUAUAUUUAGACAAAUCUAAGACAAGAAUUUUGGGACGGAGGGAGUACCAU